rnacentral:tRNA from 1 species
UGGGGUGUCGACAAGUGGUAAGUCAGCAGCCUUUGGAGCUGCCAUUCCCAGGUUCGAAUCCUGGCACCCCAG